rnacentral:tRNA from 1 species
GCCCGGAUAGCUCAGUUGGCAGAGCAGGGGACUGAAAAUCCCUGUGUCCUUGGUUCGAUUCCGAGUCCGGGCAUCA